UCCGCACCUAUGUGCAAGCUUGGUAUGAUGGCCGCUUUCAGGAUGUGAUCUUCUAUGAAGAACCGAAUCCACGCAUC
rnacentral:tRNA from 1 species